rnacentral:tRNA from 1 species
CGGCGGGUAUGCAAGUGGCCAAAGCAGCGUGGUCGUAACCCACGUGUCUCAAGACUUCGCAGGUUCAAAUCCGUGCCCCGCCGACCA